UACGGAGGGUGCAAGCGUUAUCCGGAAUCACUGGGUUUAAAGGGUGCGUAGGCGGCUAAAUAAGUCAGAGGUGAAAGCUUGCAGCUUAACUGCGAAAUUGCCUUUGAUACUGUAUAGCUUGAAAGGAGCUGAGGUCAGCAGAAUGUGGCAUGUAGCGGUGAAAUGCAUAGAUAUGCCAUAGAAUACCAAUUGCGAAGGCAGCUGGCUGGGCUUACUUUGACGCUGAGGCACGAAAGCGUGGGUAGCAAACAGG
rnacentral:rRNA from 1 species